UACGAAGGGGGCUAGCGUUGUUCGGAUUUACUGGGCGUAAAGCGCACGUAGGCGGAUUGUUAAGUCAGGGGUGAAAUCCCGGAGCUCAACUCCGGAACUGCCUUUGAUACUGGCAAUCUUGAGGCUGGAAGAGGUUGGUAGAAUUCCCAGUGUAGAGGUGAAAUUCGUAGAUAUUGGGAAGAAUACCAGUGGCGAAGGCGGCCAACUGGUCCAGAUCUGACGCUGAGGUGCGAAAGCGUGGGGAGUAAACAGG
rnacentral:rRNA from 1 species